ACUGAGGGAGGAAGGAAUGAGGGAGGAAGGGGAAAAGAGGGGGGAGAGGGAGACAGAAAAGUAGAAGGAGGCAGAGAAGGGAGAGGAGGAGGAAGAGAGCCAAUUCCAAUCCUCUUACCCACCCUGCAUAUCUUCACAAACAUUUAUCAUCAGACAGCCUAAAUAUUUACCUGGAGUCAGAGGAAACAGCCAGCAUGGUGGAACAGGCCGAUUGUCUCAGCACUCUGGGAGGCUGAGGCAGGAGGGUCACAAAUUCCACUCUGAGCCUCAGCUGGAAAACUUAGUGACUUAGUUUUGAAUCAAAAUCAAGGCAGCCACAGCAGCAGGGCUGAAGACACUCACACAAGAGGACUCCCUGGACUCCUUUGGAAAGGGGCAAACGUGACGAGACAAGUGUGUUUGAAGCAGAGGGGAACAGGAGCAGAGAGAAGCCAGAUUCAUGCCGCCUGCCUGGCCCCAGGAUGAAGAUGCUUCCUCAAGUCUGGGACCUGUGAUUAAGUGAUCAAAACUGCAACCCAUGAGCUUUCCUGCUAGCAAGUAACCUUUUGAGAAGUGGAUCGAUUCUUUGGUGAGAAGAUAGAAUCCCCGGUAUUGAGAGAGGAGGAGGAAGUAAGUGUGGAUACGCGAAGGCUUAGACCCCUGCAGGUGCAGGAAACUCACAGAC